UCGAGAAUUUUUCUCAAUGGGGGAAACCCUGAAGGAGCGACGCCGCGUGGGGGAUGAAGGUCUUCGGAUUGUAAACCCCUGUCAUCCGGGAGCAAGGCGCUCCACCUAACACGUGGAUCGUUGAUAGUACCGGAAGAGGAAGCCGUGGCUAACUCUGUGCCAGCAGCCGCGGUAAUACAGAGACGGCAAGCGUUGCUCGGAUUCAUUGGGCGUAAAGGGUCCGCAGGCGGUCAGGCAAGUCGGAUGUGAAAUCCCAGAGCUUAACUCUGGUAGGUCAUUCGAAACUGCCUGACUCGAGGAGUGGAGAGGAGACUGGAAUUGUCGGUGUAGCGGUGAAAUGCGUAGAGAUCGACAAGAACACCGGUGGCGAAGGCGGGUCUCUAGACACCUCCUGACGCUCAUGGACGAAAGCCAGGGGAGCAAACGGG
rnacentral:rRNA from 1 species